rnacentral:sRNA from 10 species
UCAAAGAAAAGGGGGCAAAUAAUAGAAACAACCAUUGAGGAAGAAAAUUCAAGAGAAAUUCAUCGGUUACCGAAAAAUGACGCGAUCUAAGGUAUAGGUGGUGAACCCUCUGGUAAGGGUAAGGAUAUCGUAUCCGAGGACCAAGAGUAGGAAUACUCCCGUUAUUGGGAGGCGGAGAAUUGAUGCUAGAGCCUUGCGAGAUUUCGGUUGACAUUUCGAGUAAUGUAUGUCUACCGGGACACCGCGGCAGUUGUCACGGGUUCGAAGAGAGUACCAGGUCAUGACAUUAGUAUUUUUCAUGUGAGCAUUUUUGCCACGUUAGUAGGUAUCUCAUCAGCAUCAACAUCAACAAUUGUCA